GUCGACAAGAUCUCCGGUUUUUCACUCCAUUCUUUUCGGUAAAUUUCUCCGUUUUAUCGAAACAGUUCCGGGCAAAAAGCAUUUUGAAAUUUUUAUGUUUUUGGUCAGCCAUCAUCAUGAAGAUGUCAAGAGAUCAAAGUAACAAAGCUCAUAAUGAUCUGAAUAUGAUGUAGGCCUACAACUUAAAGUUUUUGUCCGCCAUGAUCAUGAAGAUGUCAAGAGAUCACCAGUAACAAAGCUCAUAAUGAUCUGAUUAUGAUGUAGGCCUACAACUAAAAUGAUGCAAUUUUGAGAUCACGAGUAACAAAGCUCAUUAUGAUCUGAUAAUAGUGUAGGCCUACGACUAAAAAGG